AUGAAUUAUGAUGGCAAUAAGCAAAGAUGCGCACCUCUAGCCUCCAGGGAGCUUAAUCUUCUGCUACAACGUUUGCAUUUAGACAGGGUGUCUCUCUGCUGCUCAGGCUGGAGCGCAGUGGUGCGAUCACAGCUCACUGUAGCCUCGACUUCCUGGGCUCCAGUGACCCUCUCGCCUGAAACCGUACUCCCCCUCAAGCAGCUGAGACUACAGGCAGUGUUUAAGAAGGAUCCAGAAAUACUUCAAGCGAUGCCAGUGGUAGUGUUGCCUCCUCAGAAGACUGCUUUCAGGGGAACAGUAUACAUCUGCCCUAUAAAUUCUGGAUGGUAUGAAAACUGAGGUGCAGAAAGAAAUUACUAUUGAAAGUCACAAACUGCACUUCUCACACAGUAUUGAAUUCAUCUAUCCACCUGGCUCAUCAUACAAAUUGUUCCCUGAGUUCAAGGAUCAUGCUGCAUGCUGGAUUCCCCAGGAAGCUGCUUCUGAGAUGGAGUUUAGUGACCAAAAUAUGUAUGUGGGCCUUUGGGUCAUCACCUGUGGAAAGGAAGACAAGGAAACAGGAAUGGACCUAAGGUGAAGUGAAGCUCUGAUGCAAACCUGACAACUGUCUCACCUGACACCGUGAAGAGCUCUGGAGCUGGAAUGGCCUUCCGUUGUUCUGAAUUGGUGUGAGGUAGCUAGGUCUUUAUACCCCUGCCACCACCCAUUAUUAGGUAUGGGCCAACCAGGAAGGGGCGUGACCAUGAGUGAUGCAGCUCUGCAGCUGAAGCAGUACCUGAAGAGGCUGACAGCUGAGGGCCGUCUGCUGACAGCGCUCCCUGCAGCUGGGCAGCACAUCCUUUCUCAAAAGGGGAUCAAGGCAGUUGCAUCUCCAUGUCCACCACGGACUAUAUAUUUUUUCUUUGCAUUCCUAGGGCCUCCCAUGGUAUGUGGCACAUAGUAGGCAAAACUGGAGGUCUGUGGGGCAAAUUCAGCUGGUAGAUGAGUAUUGUGUUUUCACCCACAAAGGGAUUUCUAAAAAUUAGUUGGCAACAUUUAAAAAUAAAAAGAUUUCACAUUGAAAUGAUCAUAUUUUCUAGCUUUUCUUGAAAAAUCCAAACAUCUGGCCAAAACUAGAUCUUUUUCUGAGGUGGAAACUGUAGACUGGAGCUGAGCCAAGAUUGUCCUCAGACAGGCUUGUGAGCUCCAGGUCUCCAGACACGCACCUUCCCCACUCCUUGAGGCAUGGAGCCCUGCCUGCUGCAUGCAUUUACGUUACCUGUUACCUGUAGUCCUUUGAGUUUGCCACCCCUAUUAGUUAUUAAAGAAAUGUUUAUUGAACUGAGCAAACAUGAACAUCACUGCAUUACACUUCUCAAGGGAUAUUCAUGUACAUUCACUUAUUUAAUCCUUAAAACAACCCUGAAAACUAGGUGGUCUGAUCACCCGCAUUUUACAGAUGCAGCACUCUGAAUCUCCUGAGUGGCUCAAGCAAUCCUCCCAGAUCUCUAGCCUCCGAAAGUAGUUGGGACUACAGGUGCAUGUUACCAUGCCUGGCUAAUUUUUUUAUUAUUUUAUUUUGUGGAGAUGGGGUCUCACUCUGUUACCCAGGCUGGUCUCCAGCUCCUGUGCUUAAGCAGUGCUCCUGCCUCGGCCUUUCAAAGUGCUUGGAUUGCAGGUGUGCUCAAUCCACAUUUCCUUUUUAUUAGAAAUAACGUUCUUGGCUUCAUUCCUGAAAGAAAUUGAAAUUUUUUUAAGUUAGCAGCAAUAAUUGUGACCUAUUUAUGGGGUACCGGUGAUAUUUUGAUAUAUGCAUUCAAUGUGUAAUGAUCAAAUUGGGAUAAUUGGGAUAGCUCUUACCUCAAAUAGAUAUCAUUUCUUUGUGUUGGGAACAUUCCAAAUGUUCCAGCUAUUUUGAAAUAUAUAAUACAUUAUUGAUAACUAUAGUCACCCUGCUGUGCUAUUGAAUACUAGAAUGUAUUCUCUCUGAUAUAGACUAUUUCAUGUGACACAGUAUUACCAAGGCUGAGUCUCUUCAUCCCAUCCUUAAACCUCUAAAAAACAUGUUUUGUUUUUGGACAGGGUCUCACUAUGUUGCCCAGGCUGGAGUGCAGUGGCACGAUCUUGGCUUACUGCAGCCUCUACCUCCUGGGCUCAACCAAUCCUUCCACCUCAGCCUCUUGAGUAGCUGAGACUUCAGGUGUGCACCACACCCGGCUAAGUUUUUGUAGAGACAAAGUUUCACCAUGUUGCCCAGGCUGGUCUCAAACUUCUGGGCUUAAGUGAUCUGCUCUCCUUGGCCUCCCAAAGUGCUGGAAUUACAGCUGUGUAAUCCACUGUGCCUGGACUGAGAAACAUUUUAAAGUUUAAUUCGUAUGAUCACAGAAUACUUAUUUCAGAUGGGAGAGAUUUCAAGUAUAUGGAUAUAAAGAUGGAGAAUAUAAAAUUGUAUAAUCAUAAUUUCCAUCAUGUUGUGUAAAUCAUAUAAUGAAGUCUCAGAGGUGACUUUACUACUUUGUAAUUUGAAUUCACAUAUAGAUUUUGUAAAACUAGAACUUGGAAACAGUUCUUGAAAACAUGAUUAAUAUGAGUUUUUGGUGGAGGAUAGCACAACUAUUAAGUGGAAAAUUACUAAUAGCAAUUUCCUUAGGUUUCAUUAGUUGAUGUAAAUAUAAUAUAGUUAGAUAAUCUUUUACCACAGUGUAACUCUAUCUAUCUACCUGCCUACCUGCCUAUUUAUUUGCCUGCCUAUAUUUGAGGGAUACAUACUCUUAUGGACUGAAUUGUGUUCCCCGCCAGAUUCAUACACUGAGGCCCAAACCCCCAAAGUAACUGUAUUGGAGAUAAGGCCUAUAUGGAGGUGAUUAAGGCUAAAUGAGGUCAUAAGGUGAAUCCCUAAUCUCACAGGACUGGGGUCCUUAUAAAAACAGGGAGAGCUACCAGAGUGCUCUCUUUCUGUCUUCCUCAAUGCCCACAGAGGAAAGGCCAUGAGAGAACAUAGCAGGAAGGCAGCUG
ensembl:lncRNA